rnacentral:misc_RNA from 1 species
AGUAACAGCGGAGACUUCGUACGGUAAACACCGAGUGAUCAAGGCGACGAAACGUGCGCCAAAACGUGGACGUGCGGACGUCAAAAUAAAACAAUAACAACAAAGACACCGGGUGAAAGACGUCGCUUUCGACGUCUUAUAGACAUUAAAACGAUUCGCGUUACCCGGAAUCGGAUUAUUAAGAAUCGUUCGAACUAGAAAAACAGUUCGAUAAUAAGGUUCCUAUUUAUAGACGGAGCACCAAAAUACGCAACGUUGUGCUACGGUCCUUGUCGAUAAUGUUAACUUUAAUAUCACGACAAGAAUCAAAUAGUCAAAUGGAUAACCUGGAUCAUCUCUUUUUAUUACCAGAAAGAGCACUUAGCAUGGAUGCAUCCAGGUUACAAAAAGACUUAGAAGGACUCAAUUUUGAUCCGCGAUUACUACACGAAGCCCCUAUGGGGAAUAUAUGGUUAUCUGGGUCUCGUCCUUCAUCAGUCGCAAAAGAUGUUCCGUGUAAUUUUCUAGGAAAAACCAUGCAUUGGUUUGCAUAUGUGGGGCCAAACCCCCCCGAUUACGAAGAAGAUUCAAAAUCCAGAUUAAAAUCCGUAAAGGAACGUGAAAAUGAAGAGAGACAAAAGAAGCUGGAUGAGCUUAAAGCACAAGCGCAAGCAGCACAACGUUUCAAGGAAAAGAAAGAGAUGGAAAGGAAAAUGCGACUUGAAGAAAUGAAGUUCAAGGAGGACAACAGAAGGCAACAAGUGGAGGAGCGCAAGAAAAUGAUGAACGAGGCCGAAAGGGAUCGGCUGGAAGCGAUUUUAAGGCGCAAUCAAGAAAGGGAGGCGCGAAUAGAAGCGAAAAAACGCAACGAAAGGCAUUCGAUGGUGUUUGCGUUUGGUUCGUCAACACCUAGGAUGCUCCAACCUACCGACUCCAUAGGGUCGUUUUGGGGUCAUCGUAGGGCGACCUCUACGCAGAAUAUCACCAGCGCAGCGGCGCCGUUGACUAGGAGACAGUCUGAGAGGGAACUUGACGGAGGUAGCAAGAAAAGAGCUACGUCCGCAGGUGGCCUCGAACGUUCAAUAGAAGAUAUGCGAAUGUCGUCGUCUAUGUAUGAGAUCAUGAACUGGGAUAAGGCGGCCGUAGUCGACCGGCAUAUUUCUAGCACUGAUCCUGCAGCUACCCUCGUGUCACCGUCUCCUCAAGUCCCGGCCGGCUGCGCUAGUGGCUACGUAGGGCGUCGCCGUACGGACCUGAUGCCGACCAUUCCAUCGCGGGAGUCGCCGUCUGCACCGUCGCGAAAAUCGUUCACGCGCUCUCCAGGUAGGGCUUACUCGAUGUCACGCUUAGACCAGCUGGCGAAGCCCCGCAAGAGGGCGGAGCUGCUACCGGCCCUGGCCGAGGCCGGACCUGCGUCGCCCCUUAGAACCCUAAACCGCUCGCAACAGUCCCCCGUUAGUCGUAGCAUGAGCCACCUAAAUGUUAACAAAGCUGGCCCUCAGCCUCAAAGGCCCUUACGCAAAUCUGAUAGCCGCAGCAUGCACCAGCUCUCGGCCGUUGUCGGUCCGUUGCCACCUCCACGCACCACGCGUGCCGCCCAACUACGGCAACAAAAGCUUCUUGCUACCGGUAGUAACCACGACGCACCGUCACGACCUAGCAGUUCGUUAAGUCAACAAAGUACGAGUAGCAUCACAAGUUCAGUCAAUGUACGAAUGAGACCGAUAGCGGCACCGAGAAGACCUCGACCUAUUAGCAUAGCAGUAACCGGGAUAUCAACAAACGGCACACCAGAUCCGAAAAAGUCAACAGCGGCUGUUGAGAAACCACCUUUACCAAAAAUAAGAAAGUCCAGUCUUGUUCGAUCGACAGAGAAGCUCAAGAAGAAAUCGGUGGCAUCACCAACAGAUGGUUCCCCGAAACCUUUGGCGUCUCCGACAAGCUCGCAACAACAAACUACUAGCCCUGUCGAACCGAAACCUUUAAUCAAAGAGAAAGAAAAACCAACCGUCGCCAAAGAGGUUAAAAACGAUGAUAAUAAACCGGUUGUUGUUGCCGCUUCUAUCAUCGCAACGGAAGAACUUACGGUUAAAAAUGAAAUCCAAAUCGAUAAUAGUAAAGAUCUAACCGAUACUACAGUUAUUAAUGAUAAUCUAAUUAUAACUGAUAGUAACAAAGUUACUACUAAUAGUGAAGUAAUUACUGAAAGUACCGCACAGAUUACAGAACAACUCGUAGAUUUAACUUUAAGCGAAAAAGAAAUAGUCCAUAAAAAUAAAGAACUUAUUAAAUCAGAAGAACAUGAAAACGAAAAAGAAGCGAUCGAAGAGAAACCAAUUCCUCCGCAAAAGCAAAUUGAAAAACAACCUGAAAAAGUAGCGGAGAAACAACCCGAAAAACAAUCUGAUAAAGAACUUGAAAAUCAAUCCGAAAAACAAACUGAUAAACAAUCUGAAAAACAAUCUGAUAAAUUGUCUGAUAAACAAUCUGAAAAGCAAUCAGAAAAACAAUUAGAAACACCUGUUAAACAACAACAAACUGAUGAAAAAAUUGAAAAUGGUACAAUGAGUUCAUCAACAAUUGAUUUUGGUGAAUCAUCAGAAAUGACAACUUCAAUGACAAAAGUGCGUAUAAAUACUGAAGAAGAAGCUAAAGCCGCUUUGGCUGAACGAAGACGUUUGGCACGUGAAGAGGCUGAAAGACAAGCUGAAAUGGAACGUCAACGUAUAGCGGAAGAAGAACGAAUCGAACGCGAGCGACAACAGCGCGAAGAAGAACAACAAAGGUUAUUGAUAGAAAAAUUGAGAGAGGAGGAAGAACAGCGGCUACAAGAGGCGAUUAAAGAAGCAAAGAAACGAGCUGAGGAAGAGAAUCAAAGGCGGGAAGAGGAAAACCGCAUGAAGUUAUUGAAAGAAGAAUCCGAACGCCGAGCACGGGAAGAGGCUGAAAGACAAAAAGCCGAGCUGCAGGAACGGCUGAAAAAUGAAGAAAAAGAGAGGGAGGCGAGGCGUAAAAGGGUUGAGGCUAUUAUGUUAAGGACUAGAGGGAAAAAUAAUACACCUCAACAACAGACUGAAGAAAAAAAUGAAGAAAACAAGUCUGAAAAGUUAAACGGGUCAAAAGUAGAUACGCCAGAAAAUGGGCACAAGAACGGGAAAGAUAUAGAGACAGUCGAUAAUAUUCGAAACAUUGAAGAACGCUAACAACGUCGAUAGCCUCAGUACAGAUGAUACGUUGAAUUCAAACAACGCGUGGCAACACAACACACAGACUGAUUUGCUGAUGUGAGUCGUCAUAUUAAAAAAUACUUUAGGUGCUUGUGUAUAUGGAAAUUUAAUUGUUUAGAUUUUUUAAUGAUAAUACCGAAAGCGGAAAACGUAGAAUUGCCGUUUGAUUAUUUUUUUUUCAUUUUUCUUUUUAUUUUUUGUAAUGAUAAAAACGUAGCGGAUUGAAAAGAAAAAAAAAUUAAUUAAUAAAUCGUAACCGCGUUCAUCGCUCCUGCUGUUAUUAUACAUAAGAAUUUUAAACGAAUUUUUGAAAUAAAUUAAUUAAUUAAUAGCGUACCAUAUCGUGAAGUUUGCGUGCAAUAACGACUUAUACCCAUCUCGGCAAUUCUAUCGGUUUAAUUCAAUAUGUAUUUGACUGAGAACAUUUUUUUAUUAUUUUUUUUUUGUAUAAUGAUCCUGAUCAAGAAAAAAAAACUGAAAUGAAUCGUAAAGUGCACAACAUUGUUUAAUAUCUUUUGUAUUAGUAUAUUUUCCCGCAAUUGUUGCAUCUGAGGCAUUGUAAUUUUAUAAUUGUUUUCUUUUAAUUGCUCUUAUUUAUAAAAAUCGAUUUCGAUAGGGUUAAAUUUUUAGAACGGCAUCUAUAGUUUAAAAGUUGCGACUAUUUUUUUUUAAUAUAAUAUAAUUUUUUUCUCUCGGCGGUUGUGUUUGAUCAGGAUUUUCUGAUUUAUACAAAAAAUAUAACCCGAUUGGAUAAAUAUUAAAUACUACAACAGGACUCGGUCUUAACUAGUCAUCUUAUUCUAUGUUGAAUUAUUUUUUAUAUCUAUCGUUUAUAAGGUAACCCCGCUGAUUGCUAAUGUGGUACUAAGAAAUAAAAAAAAAUUCAAUUUCAAUAAAAAAAAAGAAAAUAAAUUAAACAUGAAAUAAGAAAUGAUAAUAAAAUUAAUUAUAAAAUUUAAAUCAGCAUCUAUUAAUUAUUCUCUAGCACAGUUAGUUUGUAAUUUGUAGUUUAUAGGCAUUUUUUGUCAGGGUAUUUUCAAAUUUGCCUUGAGAGAAGUCUGUCGAGAUCACAUGUGUAUGGGAUAUAAACGUAAAUUUUUUUUCAAUUUUGUUUUCUAUUUCUUCGGUUAACAGUUUUUUGAAGUAUAAUAAUAUAUAUCUAUGAAUAUAAAAUUAUGUGUAUAGCCGUAAUUACAUGAUGGUUUUUUAAAUCGAGACCCUUCCAAGAAUUAUUUACACAAAAAUCGUAAUUUUAUUUAUUCAUUUUUUUUAAAUAUAUAAUAGUAUAGUCAAAAAACACUAAAUUUGAUUUACCGUACUCGGUGAAUCAAUAAUCAACGUAAAAUCAAAUAAUUUUAAGGUCCUAUUUAUAUUCUAUUAAAAAAAAAAAAACAAUUUUUUCACGUUUUCAUUUUUUUUUUGUGUAUACAUAUAUUUUUUAUUAUUGUAUUAACGGUAAAUGAGAGAACUGUUCUUGCUUGAAAAAAAAAUCGAUAAAUUUAUAAUGAAAAUAAACACUUUUUGGCUAAUGUCCGUCAACAUCCAACAUUUUUUUUUCAAUCUAAGAAUGGCGACCAACCCACAUGAACGUACUUCAUAGCAAAAUACAAAAUCUUGUAAAAAAAUGCUUACAUUUGUUACAGACCUAGCUUCUUGAAGAAAUUAAUACAAUUUAUUUAUCAAAAUUUAUGUUAAAUAUAUUUUUGAAAUAUUAA